ensembl:lncRNA
GUAGUGAGUGGGGUUAUUGAGGGUUAUUUGGGGUUAGGUAGUGAGGGAUUGUGGGGCUAGGUAUUGAGGGUUAUUUGGGGUUAGGUAGUGAGGAUUCAUGGGGCUAGGUAUUGAGGGUUAUUUGGGGUUAGGUAGUGAGGGUUCGUGGGGCUAGGUAUUGAGGGUUAUUCGGGGUUAGGUAGUGAGGAUUCGUGGGGCUAGGUAUUGAGGGUUAUUUGGGGUGCUGGUGGUGAAUCAGGCGUCGGCCUCAUCUGAAACCGUCUCCAGCUAGCUGCUAAAACAUCCAACAUCAUUUAUGCAAAUGUAAUUAGGCUCUGGGAAGGCGAUCGCAGCGUCGCCGCGCCAACGGAGAUCCAUCAUCACAACACGGCCUCUAAACAUUCAAUUAAAGUCUUGGAUUUCACCAGAUUUAAUCUGACCGUAAUAAAUUAGCCAGCGAGGGAGAGACGCCCUCCAGGCUGGCACCGGCCAGGGGACGAACCCGACCCCCCCCACACACACACACAUCCCCGAACCCUACCCCCCACCCCAGCGACCCAACAUGUCCGUUGUGGAGCCAGGGAGACGGCGUUGGCUGCUCUGGUGACGGGAGGAGCUAGAGGAGGAUUUAGUCUGUGUCCAAACAAGAAGCCAUUGGCGAACUAGAGCUAGCUUCAAGGUCAGAGGACAGGCAGUCUUGUGACCUAGGGUUAGGAGCCACACCGGUCAUAGCGGCGGCUGAAAAACGAAUCAAACCGUCUUUAAAAUGUUUUCACGGUAAACAACCAGCUGUCGAACAGAGGCAGCCUUCAAACUGCAGGAUGACAACAGCAGACUUUUUUCUGUUUUUCUCGUGGUGAGAACAUGGAUGUCAGACGUGUUAGCUGCUUCGUUUCCACGGUGAUAAACCUUCCACUCCAAAGGUGAUGAAAGGCCUCUGACACCCAACGCAUAUGCACAUGUACAAGCGCACACGCACACAUGCACACUUUCACG